GAAGGCUGGGAGGGCUGCGCGGGCUGCGCAUCGCCAUGGAGCCCGACGGGACCUACGAGCCGGGCUUCGUGGGUAUUCGCUUCUGCCAGGAAUGGUGAGGCGGAGGGAGCGGGUGAUGUUAGAAGGCGGGCGAGGAAUGGCUCCAGGACUAACCCCUGGCACCUCCCCCUCCCCACAGUAACAACAUGCUGUACCCCAAGGAAGACAAGGAGAACCGCAUUCUGCUCUACGCGUGCCGGAACUGUGAUUACCAGCAGGAGGCCGACAACAGCUGCAUCUAUGUCAACAAGAUCACGCACGAAGUGGACGAACUGACCCAGAUUAUCGCCGACGUGUCCCAGGACCCCACGUUGCCGCGGACCGAGGACCACCCGUGCCAAAAGUGCGGCCACAAGGAGGCUGUGUUUUUCCAGUCACACAGUGCGCGGGCCGAGGACGCCAUGCGCCUUUACUACGUGUGCACAGCCCCACACUGCGGCCACCGCUGGACCGAGUGACCUCCUCUCUCCCCCGAGUGUAAUAAACACCAGAUUCCAUGCGUG
rnacentral:sRNA from 1 species